GUGAAUCAUCGAAUUUUUGAACGCAAAUUGCACUCUUCGGUUUUCCGGGAGAGUAUGCCUGUUUGAGGGUCUGUUUAAACAAUAAUCGAGGCUGCUGUUGUGGUGGCUCUUCGGAAUUGGGUCAUCUUUCACCUUUCGGUUGUAAGCGACCUAAAAUUUUUUUUUACGCUUUCUACGCACGUGUCUAAGAAUUUCUUGUACGUUAACGACAUCGAAAUCAUAUUAGGGGUGACCGCCGCGUCGGGUUCGCUCCCAUUAUAUGUCAUCUAGGGACUUCACAC
rnacentral:misc_RNA from 1 species